CUAAUGAUGCAUGGCCGAUGCAUAGAACAUCCUCAAAAAGCUAAUAUCUUGGUUAUUCAAAUGGAUUUCUUUCUUAGAAGGACUGAAGGAAUACCUCCCAGAUAGGUCAUAUUGCCAUAAAAGUUAGUUCCUAUAGAAAAGGACAGGUGCAAAAAACCCUGGCAUACUGUUUCCUAUCACACAACGCAAGUAACUUUAUGUUUUUCCUUUUCCUUGGAUCUAACUUUAAUACUUUGUUAAUAUUACUGAUAUAUUUUCUGUGUCCUUUAAUGCUGCUCUUAUUUCUGCAUCCUUUAUAGACAAUUACUUGCCAAUGCAAAGGGUUUAUAUACAAAAGAAAAGUUUAGGUGUUGUUUGUAUUUUUGAAUAUUUAAUAUUAGCCUGAAAAGAAUCAUUUGUUCUUUUAGGCCUAUAAGGAAAACACUGUAUGAAAAGAAGAAGGUAUAGAAAAAAAAAAAAAGAAGAAGAACUUUCAAAAAUAUCCUUGUUGAAAAUACUAUUGUCAAAGGAAUAGUGGUAAAAUAGAAAAUCUUCCUUUGUUGUAGAGAAGUUUACUUUGAACACAUCAUUUAGAAACACUGUUGAUAAAGUUAUCCUUUUGUUAAAAAUCUCUUAUUUUAAGAAAUGUCUGAUUUUGUUUUGAUAUGGAGAUUUAUUACCUCUGUACACUUGGUGUAUUUAUACAUAUUUUAAGGACAUUGUGAAACAGUAUUGUUUACAUGUAGGUCAAAGAACAAAUUAAUUACAUGAACGAACUGGAUGACUUAACUCAGUUGUCCGAGACUGUUUCUGAGGAUGGUGAUGUGCUUUACUCUAUGAAUUCCACGUUGCAAGUAGAACCUCUCGAUGUGGGGUGUAAAGAUUCUGUUAGCUUGUUGAAAAUUCAGGAUAAAAUUCUUUUGCAUGAAAGAUUAGUAGAUUUUCAAAGAAGCCAAAGAAGCCACUGUGAAUUACUUAGAGGAUAAUUUUACAGAAUGAAAAGUAAGGUUCGUGGGCUAAAAAAGAGCUGUCAGAAACCAAAGAAGUGAAAUCACAGUUAGGCCAUCAGAAAGUGGAAUGGGAAUGAGAGCUCAGCAGCUUGAGGUACUGUACACCUUGCUUUUAAAGAAACAUUUGAACUAUUGUUUCCUUUAAUACUGCAGAAAUGUAGAUGUGUUAUAAGGACUAAUUUAUCCUCUAGGAUUUUACAGAGGAGAAAGUGUUACUAGUAUUGUGGAGUGUGAAAUUCUUGGAAAUAAUAUAGUAGGUUCCUAACAGUGAAUGCUUCUAAUAAUGUAUAUUUUUCCAAAUUAUCAUUUUAGUGACCAUACAGAAGUUCAGCAUAAUGGAAAGCCCAUUAAAGAUUUACCAAAUUCACUUUCAGUUGUUUUUCACUUUUCUGUAUUCUAUUUAAUAUUGCAA
rnacentral:lncRNA from 1 species